GCUAAGUGUGGGAUUGUGAAGCUGCUAACAAUGACUUCCCUGAUGGAUAAUCACACAUUUUGACACCUCACAAUGGUCUAUUGCCCAAGUCGGCUUGUUGUGUCUCAUUUCUGUGAGACAAAGAAAAGCUGCAAAUCUUUACAUUUCAGAAGCUCCAAUAGGGGAACGUUUGGGAUUUAAAAACUAAAAGAUAAUUGAAAUUAGGUAUCAGUUAGGUUUUCGCCAUCCAUUUAUUUCAAACAUAACCUUUUCAAGCAUACCCUCAGAGUGUGAUUUGACCACAUUUCAGCUACAGCCUCGACAGCUCUCUAUUUUGCAUUAAAUACAUGCAGCUGUCGAGGGCUGUAACCUUGAAACAGCGGUAAAGCGAUGAAAGAAGAAGAAGUGGGCGCAGUUUUCGGUUUUUCGUGAAAAUGAUUCAUUCCCACUUGUGCCCUGCGAUGGCGUGAAGCUGAAUAUUUGGGGGGAACGUUGGACAGCACGCCUCACGCUCUCCCUCUAUCUGUCCAUCUGUCCAUGUCCCUCUCCGUGUCUCAGUCUGCAGCCCGGCUUUGCUGCACGGUGACCUUAACAGAAGUGAGCCUUCUUCUGGCUCGUCCUCUGCAUUGCCCUCAGGAAAUGCAGCACUGCUCACUCUGCAGGCAGCAGCAGUAAGGGUGGGGUGGGGUGAGCUGGCGCCGGUCCCACUCUUCUUGUGAACGAACACACACACACACACACACACAGACACACACUCUCUCUCCUGAGUGCUGUGAGGCUUCACUGGACCGUAAUAGUCCAGAGUAUCGCACCAGUUAGUUUUCUCUCUGCGUUGCUGUCGUCCACUUACCUGUGUGCACACACAAACGCAGGGAAUCAAAUGGAAUAAUCCUGUAAAGCAGCUGAGGACUUUUUAGCAAACAAUAGUCAAACAGGUUUUAAUUUUUAAUCAUUUCAAGGACUAUUUUUAGCUUUGAACAUUGGGUGAUGCAGGAAUGGCUAAAAAUCAACUGCAGUAACCAACCUUAUGGUCAUAAAGCUUGACAGGUGAAACAUGGAAACAUUCCUGGUUCUUUUGAUGGAUGUGUUUACAUACUGUAACAAAAAGCAAUAAAAUCACCAGACAUAAAGUAUACAGUAGAUUAGAAAGCUUGCACACUUCCUGGUGGAAGUCUAUUGGUUUCUUUUGGGAGGAAUACAAACUUGAGCUGUUGUCUUGGUAAUUCCUGGUCUGCGUGUUGGACUAAUUGACUAAUCGGUCAGCUGUGCGUUGUAAUCAAGGAACGAGUGUUUGAAGGCGUUCUGUGGCUGCAUGUGUGCAUACCCUCAGAUGCCCGCUAGUCCACCUCUAACAUAUAAAGUGAGCUUUCAAUAACAAUGUGCAGAAUAGCUUUGACAGCACUUUUGGAUCUCCGAUGCUUGAGCAAAGCCCUUGGGCCUAAACACUAACCCACCUCUAUAGGUCCAAGCCCACCCGCCUCUUUUAGCCCCCCCAAUCGCCUCUCUAUGGCACCAUUUCCUCUUUGCAUUACCUCCAUCAGGCCUGGCUGCUGACACACUUGUUUAAUAAUUAAGGGCACCUCCAUAAUUUUCUCAUCCUUGUGGAAGUCCACAAAUGGUCUCUGUGAAAGUCGGGCCAGUUAAAUGUACCUCUUUAGCUCGCGCCACAGCAGCCCCACAUCUGUUUAGCGGUCCGGAGGAGAUGAGACAAUCCAGGGAAGGUGUGGCUGGAAGGAUCAGACGGAAUCCGUUCCUCCUGAUUUACCCACUCUUAUCAGUUCAUCCAAUUUCCAUUGACAUCACACAUCCUGUGGUGGAGCGCCUGCCACACACUGUAUCCAGUCCAUCAGUCAAUAGUUGUUGAGACACACUCAAAAAGACAAGAAGGAAAGGAAGGAAAAGUCAGAGGACUUUGCCGAGCCAAUCGUCCUUCUGGUAGAUCCCACGUUUUCUCUUUGGCAUCAAAAAGUAUUAUUUACCACAACUUACUGGACUGAAAAGAGUCUGUAAGUCAGCACAUAGGUUCUUUUGGUAAAUCAACCUCCUAGUUAACACUUAAAUAGCACAAAUAGCCAAAUUCAGUCCUUUUCGUCUUGCAUUCCAUUCGAUUGCGUCCGAGACUGAGUGGCUGUGAGGCGGGUUUAAAGGAACAUCUAGAGCGGUUACACGAAAGAUCACUGGAAGAUCAGAUGUUUUGGCUUCACGCACCACCGAGCAACUGGAGCACACCUCCGAAACCCCGUUAUGUCUGCACAUCCAUGCUGGGGACCACGACCGCUUACGUGCAGAACAUUAUAACAAUGUUUUCCUCCCGUCGUUAUCAGCUGUAACCGCUGCAUGAGAACUAACAAGUGGGGCACGUGCACCAAUAUGUACGAGAAACGUGCAAGGGGAAGCUCAAGUAGCAACACAGACAGGGAGAGAAUGACUUCAUUUUGUGCUCAGGGAGACACAACACUGUUUCUCCUUCGCUGUCACCUCAUUGCUUCCUUCCUGCCAUCUCUCUGGCCGUGGUGGAAUCUGUUAUCAAGUCUCGGAGCCUGGAUGCGUCCUUGUGGUAUCGGGCGAUGUGGAUCUCAGCUUACACCCCCCCCCCCCCCUGCUCGGUGUGCAGCGUCAGCGGGCUCGUCUGGGGGAGAAAACUCGGAACUUAACAUCAACGACAAAAGCACCACGGUGACCUUCGCGCUUCAAUUACGUCGACGAGAUCCGCUUGCUGAGCGCCAACAAAGGUCAACGUAGUGAUGGAAGAAGUUCAGAAUUACUGAUGCUCUUUUGGAAUAUUAGUUUGAAGAUUCAUGCCCAUGUCUGUUUAUUAAAUAUAUAUUA
ensembl:lncRNA